rnacentral:rRNA from 1 species
CUACCUUGUUGCUUUGGCGGGACCGCUCGGUCUCGAGCCGCUGGGGAUUCGUCCCAGGCGAGCGCCCGCCAGAGUUAAACCAAACUCUUGUUAUUUAACCGGUCGUCUGAGUUAAAAUUUUGAAUAAAUCAAAACUUUCAACAACGGAUCUCUUGGUUCUCGCAUCGAUGAAGAACGCAUCGAAAUGCGAUAAGUAAUGUGAAUUGCAGAAUUCAGUGAAUCAUCAAAUCUUUGAACGCACAUUGCGCCCCUUGGUAUUCCGAGGGGCAUGCCUGUUCGAGCGUCCUUACACCACUCGGCUAUGCUUGGUAUUGGGCGACAUCCUUAGUUGGGCGCGCCUUAAAGACCUCGGCGAGGCCACUCCGGCUUUAGGCGUAGUAGAAUUUAUUCGAACGUCUGUCAAAGGAGAGGAACUCUGCCGACUGAAACCUUUAUUUUUCUAGGUUGACCUCUGAUCAGGUAGGGAUACCCGCUGAACUUAAGCAUAUCAAUAAGCGG